UACGGGCACACCAACUUCCUUAUUUCCCUCUGCCACCACCCCCCCCUUUUUUUUUUAAUAAAACUGUUAUUACUCUUAAUACCCAGGGUUUUUGUUUUUUGUAUCACCAAAUUUUUGAAGACACAAUUGUAGAUAGAUGUCUACUAAUGUGCUUCACUCACCUCCUAACGGACGUUUGUUCUGAUUUGUGGAGGGAGCACCGCAAAGAAUGCCGCAGUCUGUGCUCUCUGCAUUGUUGCUGGGGACAACUCAGGUGUGCAUCUUGGUUUACAGGCAUAGCAGUGGAAGGACUGGGUUGGCCGGUUUAUUCUUGACUUCUGGUGUUGAGUACCCUGUGCUUCAGGGGAAGUAGGGGGAGGGAAGAAGCCAUCCCAACCCCUCCCCCCACCCCCCCAGGGACUCACUGUCUCUAGAGAACAGCCCAAGCAGCACAGCCAGGGAGGGAAUGUGAGAUGGGAAAAUGGCAAAAAGGCAGUUCAGAGGCUCUCAGGAGUCUCCCGCUCUGGCCAUGGCCUCUUGCAUAGAUCAGCAGGUUGGAGCUGUAUCUUCAGUGUGUGGACUGUAUUGGGCCUUACUUCUUGGCUCUUGUUUCCUUCCUCGAGCGAGUGAUAUCAUUAAGAGGUGUUUGCAAAGAAGCUUUGUGCAGACAUGCUACAGCAGAGACCAGCUUCAUUCUCCGGUCUUGCUACGUCCUCAGGGAUCUCCCAGUCUGUUGGGACCAAUGCAGCCCCUGUCCCAUGAGGAACCCCCCAGACAUUUGGAUAAAGUUCUAGUCCCCUGUUCUCUGGGAUUCCCAGGCCGAGGGAAGGGUCAAGAUCCACAACUCCAAACAUGGACAGGUCCCGGAUGACUGGACACCUGUCCGUGUGAUCCUGACUCGGUGAGGCCCGGUUACAGCUGCAGACUCAGAAGCCAGG
rnacentral:lncRNA from 1 species